CGUCGGGUCCUGGUGCCGUUUUCCGCGCGACAAUGGCUGAAUUUUCGGAAACACGGAGCUCGGCUAACCGCGUGCACUCGCGUGUUCCACUUCGACGGUAAUUAGGUUACGGUGGGAGAUAAACAAAGACGGCGUUCUGUUACAUCCUCCUAACUUGAGUCGCGAGGAGAUGCACCCUGCCACUCUUCUACUGGGCUGACGAAGAGUGCCUUACGAGCUUGUUGCCGUUUAAUCAACUAUCAACGAAAAGUAAUCUCGAUCAGAACUGACAUUACGUUCUCGCUAACUCAAUGCUGCGAAACGUUUCGAGCAAAUCGUAACGUCAUAUUUACUACGACGUAAACUAUAUUUUCCAUCAGAUCGCACGUACAACAUAUCUGGAACUUCAAUUUUACGAUCUUCCCGAGAGAUCAGCGAUUUCGUCACCGGCAAAAAGCGACUGACGCCACCCGAAAAUCGAGCCUCUUAUCUCGCAUGAACUGGAUAUUUUGUGGAGUUCUCCUCGGAAUAUAAGGCGUUCUCGUGACCGAGGGGUUGCUUGUGAAAAUGUAGAGGGCGAGUUGGAAUUCGAUGGCUCAAUCUAUGGACAAUCGGUCGAAUGACAUUCCCGGUACAGUUUUUUCAGCCGCUCCAAUUUCCGUUACUUCCAUUCGCCGGCACGACCGUAGAGCUACGGGUCUCGAGAUUUUCCAGGCGACUGUUAAAAAUACACUUCCAUUUUCCUCUUUCCUUUCUGCCAACGAUUGCACGCCGGAAGGGAUACGAAAACGAAGCGUGAAAAUGUUCGCGAACGGUUGAUGCAUCUUCGAACAAAUAGUUAUGUGUUUUCUGAUUGAUUAAAGUUAUUCACCGGAUAAAAUUCUUGUUUAACGAGGGCGAGAAAGGUCGGAGAUCCAAUCUUGAAAUGGGUCAACAGUA